rnacentral:rRNA from 1 species
GACGAACCGUGCAAACGUUGUUCGGAAUCACUGGGCUUAAAGGGCGCGUAGGCGGUCGAUCACGUCCGGGGUGAAAUCUUUCGGCUUAACCGGAAAAGGGCCUUGGAUACGGAUCGGCUGGAGGGAGGUAGGGGCAGGUGGAACUUCCAGUGGAGCGGUGAAAUGCGUUGAUAUUGGAAGGAACGCCGGUGGCGAAAGCGACGCACUGGACCUCUUCUGACGCUGAGGCGCGAAAGCCAGGGGAGCAAACGGG